CCUACGGGAGGCAGCAGUGGGGAAUAUUGCGCAAUGGGCGAAAGCCUGACGCAGCGACGCCGCGUGAGGGAUGAAGGUCUUCGGAUCGUAAACCUCUGUCAGCAGGGAAGAACGGUCACUGUGCUAAUCAGUAGUGAAUUGACGGUACCUGCAAAGGAAGCACCGGCUAACUCCGUGCCAGCAGCCGCGGUAAUACGGAGGGUGCGAGCGUUAAUCGGAAUUACUGGGCGUAAAGCGCUCGUAGGCGGUAUGUCAAGUCAAGGGUGAAAUCCCCGCGCUCAACGUGGGAACUUCCUUUGAAACUUGCAAACUUGAGUGUGUGAGAGGAUAGUGGAAUUUCAGGGGUAGGAGUGAAAUCCGUAGAUAUCUGGAGGAACAUCAGUGGCGAAGGCGACUAUCUGGCACAUAACUGACGCUGAGGAGCGAAAGCGUGGGUAGCAAACAGGAUUAGAUACCCCAGUAGUC
rnacentral:rRNA from 1 species